AGAAGUAAAAGUCGUAACAAGGUUUCCGUAGGUGAACCUGCGGAAGGAUCAUUAUCGUACAAAAUGUGAGGGGCAUGCGAGGGCUGUCGCUGACCCAAAAGUCGUGCACGCCCGAGUGUGUCCUCUUGCAUAAUAAUCCAUCUCACCCUUUGUGCAUCACCGCGUGGGCACCCUUCGGGAUCAUCUCGGAGGGGGGCUCGCGUUUUCACACAAACCCCCCUUUUAAAAGUGUAGAAUGACAACAUUUAUGCAAUCAAUACAACUUUCAACAACGGAUCUCUUGGCUCUC
rnacentral:misc_RNA from 1 species